rnacentral:misc_RNA from 1 species
UUGCGAAAUCUCAUUGCCUAUGAACAGUCAACUUCUUCCCGAAGUCCAACUAUUUUACUGAUUAUAUGAUAUUCAUGGAUAGCCUCAUCGAUUCUGCAAAGGAUGUGAAGCUACUUUGUCGCCGAGGGAUCAUUGUGAACAGGUUGGGUGACGAUGAAACCAUUGCAAUUCUGUUCAAUAACAUUGGGAAAAAUGUUUUCUGUGACAGAGUUCUCUUCGCUGAUAUAGCAUACAAAGUAGACGAGCACUGCAAAAGAAAAUGGAAUCUGCGGAUGGCCAAGUUGAGGCGUGAUUAUUUUAACAGCCCAUGGGCUCUCAUUUCGUUUUUAGGUGCUAUAAUGCUGCUACUUCUCACCGGGAUUCAAGCUGUGUAUUCAGUUCUUUCUCAUUAUAAAUAAAUGCCAUGUUUCUGCUUCAUGUUGUCACGCAUGAAAGCUUAUGUACUAAAAGUGUGUAGUUCCUAUCAUACAUGUUUGCUAAAAAGUUGAUUAAGUAAAGUCUGGUUUAAGAGCAUAUAUAUUUGUUGUGAGCUACUUCUAUAACUGUUCACUUUUUCAUUAGCAUAUAAGA